rnacentral:rRNA from 1 species
UGACGGGGGCCCGCACAAGCGGUGGAGUAUGUGGUUUAAUUCGAUGCAACGCGAAGAACACUUACCAGGGUUUGACAUCCUGCGAAUCCCUUAGAAAUUUGGGAGUGCCUUCGGGAGCGCAGAGACAGGUGGUGCAUGGCUGUCGUCAGCUCGUGUCGUGAGAUGUUGGGUUAAGUCCCGCAACGAGCGCAACCCACGUCUUUAGUUGCCAGCAUUGAGUUGGGCACUCUAGAGAGACCGCCGGUGAUAAACCGGAGGAAGGUGUGGAUGACGUCAAGUCAUCAUGCCCCUUACAUCCUGGGCUACACACGUACUACAAUGCUACGGACAAAGGGUUGCAAACUCGCGAGAGCUAGCUAAUCCCAUAAACCGUGGCUCAGUUCAGAUCGUAGGCUGCAACUCGCCUACGUGAAGGAGGAAUCGCUAGUAAUCGCAGGUCAGCAUACUGCGGUGAAUACGUUCCCGGGCCUUGUACACACCGCCCGUCACACCAUGGAAGUUGGCCACGCCCGAAGUCGUUACUCCAACCCGUAAGGGAGGA